GGGUUGUGAGGUUAAGCGACUAAGCGUACACGGUGGAUGCCCUGGCAGUCAGAGGCGAUGAAGGGCGUGCUAAUCUGCGAUAAGCGCCGGUAAGGUGAUAUGAACCGUUAUAACCGGCGAUACCCGAAUGGGGAAACCCAGUGUGACUCGUCACACUAUCAUUAACUGAAUCCAUAGGUUAAUGAGGCGAACCGGGGGAACUGAAACAUCUAAGUACCCCGAGGAAAAGAAAUCAACCGAGAUUCCCCCAGUAGCGGCGAGCGAACGGGGAGGAGCCCAGAGCCUGAAUCAGCAUGUGUGUUAGUGGAAGCGUCUGGAAAGGCGCGCGAUACAGGGUGACAGCCCCGUACACAAAAGCGCAUGUGCUGUGAGCUCGAUGAGUAGGGCGGGACACGUGGUAUCCUGUCUGAAUAUGGGGGGACCAUCCUCCAAGGCUAAAUACUCCUGACUGACCGAUAGUGAACCAGUACCGUGAGGGAAAGGCGAAAAGAACCCCGGCGAGGGGAGUGAAAAAGAACCUGAAACCGUGUACGUACAAGCAGUGGGAGCACCCUUUGGGGUGUGACUGCGUACCUUUUGUAUAAUGGGUCAGCGACUUAUAUUCUGUAGCAAGGUUAACCGAAUAGGGGAGCCGCAGGGAAACCGAGUCUUAAUUGGGCGUUAAGUUGCAGGGUAUAGACCCGAAACCCGGUGAUCUAGCCAUGGGCAGGUUGAAGGUUGGGUAACACUAACUGGAGGACCGAACCGACUAAUGUUGAAAAAUUAGCGGAUGACCUGUGGCUGGGGGUGAAAGGCCAAUCAAACCGGGAGAUAGCUGGUUCUCCCCGAAAGCUAUUUAGGUAGCGCCUCGUGAAUUCAUCUCCGGGGGUAGAGCACUGUUUCGGCUAGGGGGCCAUCCCGGCUUACCAACCCGAUGCAAACUGCGAAUACCGGAGAAUGUUAUCACGGGAGACACACGGCGGGUGCUAACGUCCGUCGUGAAGAGGGAAACAACCCAGACCGCCAGCUAAGGUCCCAAAGUCAUGGUUAAGUGGGAAACGAUGUGGGAAGGCCCAGACAGCCAGGAUGUUGGCUUAGAAGCAGCCAUCAUUUAAAGAAAGCGUAAUAGCUCACUGGUCGAGUCGGCCUGCGCGGAAGAUGUAACGGGGCUAAACCAUGCACCGAAGCUGCGGCAGCGACGCUUAUGCGUUGUUGGGUAGGGGAGCGUUCUGUAAGCCUGCGAAGGUGGCCUGUGAGGGUUGCUGGAGGUAUCAGAAGUGCGAAUGCUGACAUAAGUAACGAUAAAGCGGGUGAAAAGCCCGCUCGCCGGA
rnacentral:rRNA from 1 species